rnacentral:rRNA from 1 species
CCUGAUGCAGCGACGCCGCGUGAGGGAUGACGGCCUUCGGGUUGUAAACCUCUUUCAGCAGGGAAGAAGCGCAAGUGACGGUACCUGCAGAAGAAGCACCGGCUAACUACGUGCCAGCAGCCGCGGUAAUACGUAGGGUGCGAGCGUUGUCCGGAAUUAUUGGGCGUAAAGAGCUCGUAGGCGGCCUGUCGCGUCGGAUGUGAAAGCCCGGGGCUUAACCCCGGGUCUGCAUUCGAUACGGGCAGGCUAGAGUGUGGUAGGGGAGAUCGGAAUUCCUGGUGUAGCGGUGAAAUGCGCAGAUAUCAGGAGGAACACCGGUGGCGAAGGCGGAUCUCUGGGCCAUUACUGACGCUGAGGAGCGAAAGCGUGGGGAGCGAACAGGAUUAGAUACCCUGGUAGUCCACGCCGUAAACGUUGGGAACUAGGUGUUGGCGACAUUCCACGUCGUCGGUGCCGCAGCUAACGCAUUAAGUUCCCCGCCUGGGGAGUACGGCCGCAAGGCUAAAACUCAAAGGAAUUGACGGGGGCCCGCACAAGCAGCGGAGCAUGUGGCUUAAUUCGACGCAACGCGAAGAACCUUACCAAGGCUUGACAUAUACCGGAAACGGCUAGAGAUAGUCGCCCCCUUGUGGUC